UACGGAGGGUGCAAGCAUUAUCCGGAUUCACUGGGUUUAAAGGGUGCGUAGGCGGGCAGGUAAGUCCGUGGUGAAAUCUCUGAGCUUAACUCAGAAACUGCCAUGGAUACUAUUUGUCUUGAAUAUUGUGGAGGUAAGCGGAAUAUGUCAUGUAGCGGUGAAAUGCUUAGAUAUGACAUAGAACACCAAUUGCGAAGGCAGCUUACUACACAGUUAUUGACGCUGAGGCACGAAAGCGUGGGGAUCAAACAGG
rnacentral:rRNA from 1 species